GGCCAGGUUGGCCGGGGCUGUGAGCAACCUGAUCUAGUUAGCCGUGUCCCUGCUCACCGCAGGGGGGGUUGGACUAGAUGACCUCUAAAGGCCCCUUCCAACCCAAAACAUUCUAUGAUUCUA